CCUACGGGUGGCAGCAGUGGGGAAUAUUGGGCAAUGGGCGCAAGCCUGACCCAGCCACGCCGCGUGAGUGAUGAAGGCCUUCGGGUCGUAAAGCUCUGUGGGGAGGGACGCGGUACCUCCUUAGCAAGCACCGGCUAACCCUGUGCCAGCAGCCGCGGUAAUACAGGGGGUGCAAACGUUGCUCGGAAUCAUUGGGCGUAAAGCGCACGUAGGCGGUUCGUUAUGUCGGAUGUGAAAGCCCUUGGCUUAACCGAGGAAGUGCAUCCGAAACUGGCGAGCUAGAGUACGAAAGAGGAUCGCGGAAUUCCCGGUGUAGAGGUGAAAUUCGUAGAUAUCGGGAGGAACACCGGUGGCGAAGGCGGCGAUCUGGUCAUACUGACGCUGAGGUGCGAAAGCGUGGGGAGCAAACAGGAUUAGAUACCCUUGUAGUC
rnacentral:rRNA from 1 species